rnacentral:rRNA from 1 species
CUUGUUGGUGGGGUGAUGGCCUACCAAGGCGACGACGGGUAGCCGGCUGAGAGGGCGACCGGCCACACUGGGACUGAGACACGGCCCAGACUCCUACGGGAGGCAGCAGUGGGGAAUAUUGCACAAUGGGCGGAAGCCUGAUGCAGCGACGCCGCGUGAGGGAUGACGGCCUUCGGGUUGUAAACCUCUUUCAGCAGGGACGAAGCGCAAGUGACGGUACCUGCAGAAGAAGCGCCGGCCAACUACGUGCCAGCAGCCGCGGUAAGACGUAGGGCGCGAGCGUUGUCCGGAUUUAUUGGGCGUAAAGAGCUCGUAGGCGGCUUGUCGCGUCGACCGUGAAAACUUGGGGCUCAACCCCAAGCCUGCGGUCGAUACGGGCAGGCUAGAGUUCGGUAGGGGAGACUGGAAUUCCUGGUGUAGCGGUGAAAUGCGCAGAUAUCAGGAGGAACACCGGUGGCGAAGGCGGGUCUCUGGGCCGAUACUGACGCUGAGGAGCGAAAGCGUGGGGAGCGAACAGGAUUAGAUACCCUGGUAGUCCACGCUGUAAACGUUGGGCGCUAGGUGUGGGGGGC